rnacentral:rRNA from 1 species
UUCCGUAGGUGAACCUGCGGAGGGAUCAUUACCGAGUUAUUCAACUCAUCAACCCUGUGAACAUACCUAAACGUUGCUUCGGCGGGAAUAGACGGCCCCGUAAAACGGGCCGCCCCCGCCAGAGGACCCUUAACUCUGUUUCUAUAAUGUUUCUUCUGAGUAAAACAAGCAAAUAAAUUAAAACUUUCAACAACGGAUCUCUUGGCUCUGGCAUCGAUGAAGAACGCAGCGAAAUGCGAUAAGUAAUGUGAAUUGCAGAAUUCAGUGAAUCAUCGAAUCUUUGAACGCACAUUGCGCCCGCCAGUAUUCUGGCGGGCAUGCCUGUUCGAGCGUCAUUACAACCCUCAGGCCCCCGGGCCUGGCGUUGGGGAUCGGCGGAGCCCCCCGUGGGCACACGCCGUCCCCCAAAUACAGUGGCGGUCCCGCCGCAGCUUCCAUCGCGUAGUAGCUAACACCUCGCGACUGGAGAGCGGCGCGGCCACGCCGUAAAACACCCAACUCUUCUGAAGUUGACCUCGAAUCAGGUAGGAAUGCCCGCUGAACUUAAGCAUAUCAAUAAGCGGAGGAA